rnacentral:rRNA from 1 species
CAAAGGAAGUUGACGGGGGCCCGCACAAGCGGAGGAGCAUGUGGUUUAAUUCGAUGAUACGCGAGGAACCUUACCUGGGCUUGAAAGUUAGUGACAUUCUGUGAAAGCAGAACUUCCGCAAGGACACGAAACUAGGUGCUGCAUGGCUGUCGUCAGCUCGUGCCGUGAGGUGUUGGGUUAAGUCCCGUAACGAGCGCAACCCCUAUCAUUAGUUGCCAUCAGGUCAUGCUGGGGACUCUAAUGAGACUGCCCGCGCAAGCGGUGAGGAAGGUGGGGGACGACGUCAAGUCAUCACGGCCCUUACGUCCAGGGCUACACACGUGCUACAAUGGUAGAUACAGCAGGUUGCCACAUGGUAACAUGGAGCUAAUCCCAAAAGUCUAUCUCAGUUCGGAUUGAGGUCUGCAACUCGACCUCAUGAAGCUGGAUUCGCUAGUAAUCGAAAAUCAGCAAUGUUUCGGUGAAUACGUUCCCGGGCCUU